AGUGAACGCUGGCGGUAGGCCUAACACAUGCAAGUCGAACGGCAGCACAGUAAGAGCUUGCUCUUACGGGUGGCGAGUGGCGGACGGGUGAGGAAUACAUCGGAAUCUACUUUUUCGUGGGGGAUAACGUAGGGAAACUUACGCUAAUACCGCAUACGACCUACGGGUGAAAGCAGGGGAUCUUCGGACCUUGCGCUAUUGAAUGAGCCGAUGUCGGAUUAGCUAGUUGGCGGGGUAAAGACCCACCAAGGCGACGAUCCGUAGCUGGUCUGAGAGGAUGAUCAGCCACACUGGAACUGAGACACGGUCCAGACUCCUACGGGAGGCAGCAGUGGGGAAUAUUGGACAAUGGGCGCAAGCCUGAUCCAGCCAUACCGCGUGGGUGAAGAAGGCCUUCGGGUUGUAAAGCCCUUUUGUUGGGAAAGAAAAGCAGCAGGUUAAUACCCCGCUGUUCUGACGGUACCCAAAGAAUAAGCACCGGCUAACUUCGUG
rnacentral:rRNA from 1 species